rnacentral:rRNA from 1 species
AUUGAACGCUGGCGGCAGGCCUAACACAUGCAAGUCGAGCGGAUGACGGGAGCUUGCUCCUUGAUUCAGCGGCGGACGGGUGAGUAAUGCCUAGGAAUCUGCCUGGUAGUGGGGGAUAACGUUUCGAAAGGAACGCUAAUACCGCAUACGUCCUACGGGAGAAAGCAGGGGACCUUCGGGCCUUGCGCUAUCAGAUGAGCCUAGGUCGGAUUAGCUAGUUGGUGGGGUAGUGGCUCACCAAGGCGACGAUCCGUAACUGGUCUGAGAGGAUGAUCAGUCACACUGGAACUGAGACACGGUCCAGACUCCUACGGGAGGCAGCAGUGGGGAAUAUUGGACAAUGGGCGAAAGCCUGAUCCAGCCAUGCCGCGUGUGUGAAGAAGGUCUUCGGAUUGUAAAGCACUUUAAGUUGGGAGGAAGGGCAGUAAGUUAAUACCUUGCUGUUUUGACGUUACCGACAGAAUAAGCACCGGCUAACUCUGUGCCAGCCGCCGCCGUAAAAC